CGGUGCUUGCCCAUCGGCUCAGCCGGGGACCGGCGAGCUGCCGCCGAGGUGAUGCUGCGGCCGGAGGAGCCCCGGGCGGGGGAGGCGGUGGCAGUCGCUGGAGAGACGACGGGGGAGCUGCUGAGGCGGAGCCCCCUGCGGCGCGGGGCGAGAAGGCGGUGAGGCGGACAGCGCGCGAGGGGCGCGGCCAUCUUGGCGGCGCGGGGAGGGCGGUGGCGCUGCGCGCGCAGCGGGGCGCCCGGCGGGCGGCGGCCUGCCCUCCGAGACACCCGAGCUGGAUUUCAAGGGUGAAUUGUAUAAUAAUAGAAUCAUAGAAUGGUUAGAGUUGGAAGGGACCUUAAAGAUCA
rnacentral:lncRNA from 1 species